CCUACGGGAGGCAGCAGUGGGGGAUAUUGCACAAUGGGGGAAACCCUGAUGCAGCGACGCCGCGUGUGGGAAGACGGUCCUCUGGAUUGUAAACCACUGUUCCCAGGGACGAAGAUGACGGUACCUGGGGAUGAAGCUCCGGCUAACUACGUGCCAGCAGCCGCGGUAAUAGGUAGGGAGCGAGCGUUGUCCGGAAUUACUGGGUGUAAAGGGAGCGUAGGCGGGACUGCAAGUUGGGUGUCAAAUCUACCGGCUCAACCGGUAGCCGCACUCAAAACUGCAGUUCUUGAGUGAAGUAGAGGCAGGCGGAAUUCCUAGUGUAGCGGUGAAAUGCGUAGAUAUUAGGAGGAACACCGGUGGCGAAGGCGGCCUGCUGGGCUGUUACUGACGCUGAGGCUCGAAAGUGUGGGGAGCAAACAGGAUUAGAUACCCGAGUAGUC
rnacentral:rRNA from 1 species